UUGAUAGAAACCAAAACUUAGAGGUGUAUCACUGUUAAUGGUAAAAUUGAAUUAUUUUAUUCCUAUCAAG
rnacentral:tRNA from 1 species